rnacentral:lncRNA from 1 species
CACUGACAGUAAAUUUCUCCAAGAUGGAGGGGGAAAUCAGUAAAGGAUAGGAGAAUUCUGAGGAAGUCUUUUGACAACAGCCUUAAGGAAGCCAUUAAACAGCUCCUCAUUCACAUUGUGCCCAUGAAGUGGCAUUUAAAUGACCGGAAGCUGUACUCUAUGAGGCUUCUCACUUUCUCCUUUUUUUCCUAUUAGCAUCCAUAAAGUACAAAUACAAACAAAGGACUGAAGGAGAAGAACUGUGCAGCUGUGACCUGAGUGAACACAUAUGCAAAAUGGAGGCAGGGUGAGCAUGAGAACAAAGAUACUAUGGGCUUUUCUUUGGCUAGACAACCGCAGUUUGAACUGGAUGUGUGUAAGCCAGGAAGUAGCACAUAUGGACAGAGAUCCCAUUUGUCUUACAGUGAUGGUUAGGAUGCUAUGGUGCUGUUUUGAUCACAAGAUUUUGACUUAAGGCCUGGUUUUAGCUUUGGAGACACGUAAUGUCUGAACGUGUGGCGAUGGCAUCUACACCACAAAUGUUGUUCUGCGUGGCUUUGGUCCUCUCAGCAUUCUGAUUAUGUUUGGCAAAGCCUCUCUCUGUUACCUCCAUUGCAAGAAAACAUCCGUGACAGCUUUUCAGCCACAGGAAUUAUCAGUGAAGGUACUCUGUUGAGCACUGGUUGGACAUGCUCAGUGACCUGGACCAGAACCCUUGGUUUGUGAUGUGGGAUUCUAAAAGAGGAUUAUGACAAGAGUACAAGCAUAGAGCUACCACCCUGCAGUUGCAGAGCAGUGUGUCCCAGUUCUCCCUUCUGGACAGGAACAGAGGCUGCCUGGAACCUCUUUAACACCUUUUCCAAAUCUGUUCCACUGGGUUCAGUAAAAAACCCUGUAAUUUCCUACAGUUUGUUCUGCAUCUGUUCAGCAUAUCUGACAGUCAGCAAUGCUAGACAGCAUCAAACACAUCAUCAGAGUUGCACUCACCAAAACUGACUGCAUGUAUCUGGUAUUCCUGCUGAGUGUUGAGGAUACAGAUCUCUUGCCCCACAUUACUGUCUUAAUUGCUCGCUGUCUCCAUGGUUGCUCUUGCAAUCUGGUUUAUCACACAGUUUCAGGUAGGCUGACUAAUCAAUCACCUGUGGCAAGGUCCAGAUAGCCUUCAUUAAAAACUCAAGCUCUGGGAUCAAGCAUCACAAAUUUGUGUCCAAAAACUGUGUCCUCUCAUGAGUUCAAUGGGGAUAGUAAGCGCCAUCCUAAUGUUAACAAUUCAGUUUUCAUCCCACCUCUAUGAGCAUGCUGAACUGCUGUCAGUACUUUCUAAUAAUUUAACAUGCAGAAGGAAUCAAAUGUACUG